rnacentral:rRNA from 1 species
CUAUGCGCCUUGCCAGCCCGCUCAGUCAGAGUUUGAUCCUGGCUCAGGAUAAACGCUGGCGGCGUGCCUAAAACAUGCAAGUCGAACGGCACCUUCGGGUGUAGUGGCGGACGGCUGAGUAACACGUGGGUGACCUGCCCUCGAGCGGGGGGAUAACUGCCCGAAAGGGUGGCUAAUACCGCAGAUGUCGAUCUUUCGGUAGGUUGACUGAACCGAUGCAGGGUUCGGGAGGGGCCCGCGGCCGAUUAGCUAGCUGGUGGGGUAAUGGCCUACCAGGGCAUCGAUCGGUAGCUGGUCUGAGAGGAUGAUCAGCCAGACUGGGACUGCGAACGGCCCAG